UACGUAGGUGGCAAGCGUUGUCCGGAUUUACUGGGUGUAAAGGGCGUGCAGCCGGGCUGACAAGUCAGAUGUGAAAUCCCGCGGCUCAACCGCGGAACUGCAUUUGAAACUGUCAGUCUUGAGUACCGGAGAGGUCAUCGGGAUUCCUUGUGUAGCGGUGAAAUGCGUAGAUAUAAGGAAGAACACCAGUGGCGAAGGCGGAUGACUGGACGGCAACUGACGGUGAGGCGCGAAAGCGUGGGGAGCAAACAGG
rnacentral:rRNA from 1 species